AAAAUAUAUAAGACAAGAAAAGCCGUGGGGGACAAUGAUAACAACAGAUCGCGUCUUUUAUCCAUGAGUCCGAUCGGGUUUAGCGGACCUCUAACCAGGAUUUUGGUCAUAAAAUUUUGAUCCCAACUAAAACCAAAGAAUAUCUUCAAGAUACCUUGGCAAUCAUGACAAUGUAAUUUCAGGCGAUUCUCGGGAAAAAUUUUACCAUCUCCAGAGGAUGUGAAUUGCAAUAUGUAAGUAACGCUACAUAAGAG